GACGACGGGUAGCCGGCCUGAGAGGGCGACCGGCCACACUGGGACUGAGACACGGCCCAGACUCCUACGGGAGGCAGCAGUGGGGAAUAUUGCGCAAUGGGCGGAAGCCUGACGCAGCGACGCCGCGUGGGGGAUGAAGGCCUUCGGGUUGUAAACCUCUUUCACCACCGACGAAGCGAAAGUGACGGUAGGUGGGGAAGAAGCGCCGGCUAACUACGUGCCAGCAGCCGCGGUAAUACGUAGGGCGCAAGCGUUGUCCGGAAUUAUUGGGCGUAAAGAGCUCGUAGGCGGUCCGUCACGUCUGCCGUGAAAACCCGAGGCUUAACCUCGGGCCUGCGGUGGAUACGGGCGAACUAGAGGUAGGUAGGGGAGAACGGAAUUCCCGGUGUAGCGGUGAAAUGCGCAGAUAUCGGGAGGAACACCGGUGGCGAAGGCGGUUCUCUGGGCCUUACCUGACGCUGAGGAGCGAAAGCGUGGGGAGCGAACAGGAUUAGAUACCCUGGUAGUCCACGCCGUAAACGUUGGGCGCUAGGUGUGGGGUCUUUCCACGGACUCCGUGCCGGAGCUAACGCAUUAAGCGCCCCGCCUGGGGGAGUACGG
rnacentral:rRNA from 1 species